AAGAUAAUAAAUUAAAGUCAUUUGUAAAAGGCUGAUAUGUACAUCGAAUACAAAUAAUCUUCAGAACUUUAAUGUGAUUAUGGAUUUUAUAUGAUCAACUACAAACAUACAUGCAUAUAGUUUUAUGCAGAUUUCUUGUAUAAGCAAGGUACUCUGUCAGUCCUUACUGACAAUUUUUAGCCAAAAAAAAAUCAUAAUUUUAAAAUAUGUAUAUUUUUUAAUUAACUAAAAGAGCUGUUACUGCUCUUAAAAUUCUUUUGGGAUUAGUUCAAUUUAUCUUGAAUUUAGUUGGUGAUGCCCAGUUAUUGAUGACCACAUGAAACUAAACCUGUCCUGCAGUGAACUAAUAAUUUGCUUUUGGAACAUCAGUAAGGACUUCUGGAGGCAUCUACCACUGCUCAUAAUAUGAAUGAAUGUUAUUAGAUUUAGUGACAUAGCUACACACAGUAUAAUAAAUAAACAUGCAAGAGUAUAUGUGACACUGAAUAUCACACUUGUGGGUUACAUAUGUUUGAUAUGCCGUUCUAUCUGCAAUAACUUGACUUACAACUCACGACUGUCUGCACAUGCUAAGGGCAAAUAAUAGAUGCUAACUUCAAUAACAUUUUGCAGUAAUAAUUCUUGUUUAGAGUAUAAUAGUUUAUAGGUAUUACAGUGUGUAUAUAUUUAUGUUAUUGUGAUAAAUGGUUGCUGUAGAAAGUCGAAAAAAAAAAAACACUUGGAUGUUUAGGGUUUCCAUGACUUAAUCUAAAUGUUUUCUGCUUUUAAAGUGGCAUGGGAAUAAACAUUUCUUUUAGAAUAAAAAAUUAUGUGCCCAGUGCUUUAUAGAGAUUCCCUCCUACUUGAAAUUCCCAUCUUAGCAACUUUCAACAACGGUAACCCAAACAACAAGUUCCCAGAGACUGGAGUGCAUCUUAACAUGUCACACUUUUUUUUUUAGCUUUGACUUAUAGUGAAGCUUUCAAUACAAAGUGGGUCAUUUCCCCAUGAUUUCCAUUGGUUUACCAUUUGGGCAUUUUAAUGUUAACACAGACAUUUCUAAGAAAAAGCCCACACUCUCCCAUUCCCAUUCCCCAGCCUCUUCCCCUUGAUGAACAUCUAAGAUGAACUUAGAUGCUUGGGUCAGAACGUCCUCAUCAAAAGUACAUGUACCACUUCUGCACUUAUCCGAAAAGCCAUAAAUGACAAGCGGGGAUCAGUUUAAGUCUUUAUUUAGUCUACAGGGAUCAGAGUGUGACUCCAAUUAAUAGGACAUUAUAUAUACAAGAUUUUAA